UUCUCAAUAAGACCCUAAGAGAGACUAUUUUGGCCUGAGGCCCUUCCUGCUCUGCCCUGGCUCGUGGCACUUUUUCCUUCAACUGCCUUUUGUUCCCUGCACUUUUUGAGCUUUUACUUCUCCCAGUUGUUCAGGUACCUCACCUCCCUCCUAACCUAAUGUUUCAACAACCCUUUCCUCUUAAGUGUUCUCUUCCCUCAGGGUCUUGCUCUCUGAUUUUCAAGAUGAAGACAAAAUAUUCUAUAAUAGAACUACCUAGUAAGGGGAAUUUAGCAUAAGAGUUAAGAGUUCCAGCUCCAGAGUUAGACUGAAAUGUGUUAGAAUUUGUCUUGUAGUGUCCUUGUAAGGUAUGGGCUUAGAAAAAAGGAAAAAAAAAAAAAAAGAAAAUUUAAAAAUAAAUUUUAAAAAAUCAUCUUGUAGUAGCUGCGAGAUUUAUAGACAAGCUACUUGAGCACUCAGCCUCAGUUUUCACAUCUCUAAAUGACAUGUUUAUUGACAGGAAUAACUACAGAAAGGUCUCAGCAAGUAAUGGAUUCUGAUCUGCAAACACAACCCAGCGUGCCAGCAUUUGCAGAUGUACCCAUGAGCCAACCAAAUAGCAAGUCUCCUUUACAAGCAAAAGGUCAACUUCUCAGUGGGAAGUCUCCAGUUACAGACUCGCAUUCAUUCUCAAAUCACCCUAACACACAGAAAACAGACAUAUUUACUUUUCUCAUGAUUCGUGGGAGAAUUUUGCUCUGAAACAAAGUCAACAGCCAAAUCUCUCCUCAGCAAGCUGAAGCAUAUCCCAUACUGGUCUCUGGAUGAAAGACCUUCUAGUAAACUUGGUGAGAGUGACAGAAAAAAAAGGGAUUUUUUUCUAGAAGAAAAUGUUCCUAUUUCACUACAGUGUCCUUUGGACCUAAAUAGUCUUCAUUCUAAGUCAUAUUUCCUAUGAGAUGUUACCAAGGCAAAUGUUCAGGGAAAUAGCAGCUGGAGCCAUUUGAGGAUUACUAAUUACAGGGCAUUACAGGUACAAUUUGUAAUCCUACUUGACAGAUGUGACCCAUUACAUUAAGCAUUGUUGGCAUGUUCUACAAAGCCAGAUGCAAGCUGGGAUGUUGGUCUUUUGGUAGCACAGCUUUCUGGCAAGCUUCAUCAUUACCAGUAGCUCUGUAUAUAGGUAGGAGAAACAACUGUUGACAUGAUAUAAUUGGAGGAUUCUUUAAAAUGGCCAAUGGAUUUAAAAAUAUCUCACUCCACUCCAUGAGGUAUUAAUAUGCAAAGACAUGUCCAGAUAGUUCUGUUAGAUUAUUAACUCUGCCUAUAUUAUCCUAUAUUAUUGAUUUCAACAUUUGGGUCAAAAAGAUUUUUGGAGUCUGAGCCACAAUGUUCCAACUGAAAUAUUUUAGAAAUUAAAAAAAAUAUUCCCAGUGAUUUUCCCUCAACCAUGCUGUAGCUGAGCAACAUUUAUCUGUGUGAUACAGAAAUGAAUGCUCAGUUCAAAGCAUUUCAGGAAGAAACAGAAAAAUAUCAAAACAAUCAUCAUCUCUGUAAGCAAAACAAAUAGCUGAUCAAAUGACUUUUAGACUUGCCAGUCAUUGCUAAGAUGUCCUGGAGGUAUGGCCAGAAUGUUCUGCAGCCACAAAUACAGUUUGCAUUGUACCCUCCACAUGAGUAAUGAGAAGACUUAAAGAAGAAUCACAUACCCCUUUAAUUAUUAUUAUUUUUCUAAGCUCUUCCUUAAAGAUAGAGAAAACAAAAGGAUAAUUUAUAUUUACAGUUCUGUGACACAUAAAAAAUAUAAUUAAAGCACUAAAUCUCUACCAAGAAAUGUGAUGUACGGAAUUCAAUUCAGCAUUUAGCUGGAAAGGAGUCCCUUCGGGGAGAUCAGGUUGAUAUGUGAGGAAUCAGUUUUGAAGUCCCAUUGCUGAUUAUUUUUUUCAAGGGAUGGUAUUUUGGUCAGCCGUACUCUGAUUUCUCCUCACAACUGUCAGUCAGAAUGAAUUACAGGACAUAUUACCCGAAUCCCAACAUCUAGCUACAUUAACACCCCUGAUUUUUGUUCUUUCAAAUGUCAUUUAGAUAUAUGGAAGUCAUUUUUUUCCUAUCAUAUUUCCAGCACCCUCCAACAAGGCGGCAUUUUACAUUUCCCACACAAGAGGGUUUUUUUUUCCCUCUGCAUUGGACUUCAGAAUAUGGAAAGUUGCAGAGUUUGUUUAUUUUUUAAUCUUCUUUAUUAGUUGCAUAAAACUGUCAACAGCCAUGCUAGUCUUGAAAGUAUCAGGCUGAUUUAAGAGAAGCUUUCCUGAACUGGGUGGAGAGUGGGGCAAAGAGAUAAGCAAAUGGAAGAAUAUAGGGAAGGGGGCAGUGCUUUUUUCCCUAAAAGAUUUCAAUCUAAUUUUUUAAAAGCAUAGUUCAUCCUUCUAACACAGUAUUGGCUGUAAUGAGGAUACUGCAGACUCAAAGAGUCAGAAUAUAAGCUUUAAAUAAU
rnacentral:lncRNA from 1 species